CUUUUUCGUUUUUCUUUUUACUUGCCGAUUUCCUUUUCGCCGGGGCGAAAUUUUGUCAAUGCCGAGGCGAUUCGGCCGGCAAACGCAUUCGCAAGGCAUAGCGGGGCCCACGGCGUCCGGCUCGGAACGAGCUUUCCGGAAAGGGGUCACGGGCCCCGUGAGUCCACCCGGAUCAAAAGUUACGCCCGUAAGCGCAGAGACGCGCGAAUUUCGUUUUCCGAGAAACGCUUUCGGUCGUUUCUAAGUAAUAUCCCGUUAACCGUCCGGUAAUUGCGCAACGGGCCCCCAAAAGCCGGAAAGAGAACUCUUAAGAAUAGAAAGGGCUUUGCCUCCAAAUACAUUUGCAAUGCGUAACAUGAC
rnacentral:misc_RNA from 1 species